AGAGUUGAUCAUGGCUCAGGACAACGCUGGCGGCAUGCCUAACACAUGCAAGUCGAACGGGGGUAGCAAUACCCUAGUGGCGAACGGGUGAGUAACACAUAAGCAAUCUGCCCUUCACAGGGGGAUAACAGCGGGAAAUUGCUGCUAAUACCGCAUAAGACCACGGUACCGCAUGGUACAGGGGUAAAAACGAAUCAGUGGUGAAGGAUGAGCUCAUGUCCCAUUAGCUAGUUGGUGAGAUAACAGCCCACCAAGGCGACGAUGGGUAGCCGACCUGAGAGGGUGAUCGGCCACACUGGAACUGAGACACGGUCCAGACUCCUACGGGAGGCAGCAGUGGGGAAUAUUGGGCAAUGGAGGAAAAACCUCUUACCCAGCAAUGCCGCGUGAGUGAAGAAGGUCUUCGGAUUGUAAAGCUCUUUGAUUGGGGACGAAGAAAGUGACGGUACCCAAAGAACAAGCCCCGGCUAACUACGUGCCAGCCGCUGC
rnacentral:rRNA from 1 species